CUAGGCCUUUCAGGACCUUUCAAAACAAAAGCACAAGUCAGCAGUAAUUGUGCCCGGUGUCCAGCAGCACCCGGGGAUCCCAAUCAGUGUUUACUCCUCAGUCAUUCUGCGCGGCUGUUGGUGAUUCGUACAACUGGACCUGAGAUUUGACUCGAAGAAGAUUCUGGAGUCUCUCUGAUCCAAACCCGGCCGGGGAACCCACUGAAACUGAACUUUGGAAGCUUUUUUGCCAAAAUAUUUCUCAGAGGGAAGAUGUCUUUGAAGCGCCGCCUGAUGUCCAUGCUGCUGUGCUGUGUGUACUGCGUGGCCUCGCUCUUCUGUCUGCAUCCAAACCGAAACAACUGCUUUGCGGCGGGAACUCGGAACCCAGCGUCAGUGGUCCAGCAGAUUUUCCAGCGCAUCAUUCGGGUGUUGAGAAGCACGCUGUGACGCCCCCCCCCCUCUCUGAAGAAACCUGCUGCCGUCAUCCACGACCUCCAAACACUAAGAAGAAAGGAGGGAGGGGCCUUCCUGCUGCUGGACUGCUGAGCUUCUUUCUAAACUUUGCUGCUUGAGCUCCGAUCGCUCAGAACACUGAUCUCUGACUGUGCGGCGACCUGCUGUGUCUGAGCAAGUCUCCUUUUCGACUGAUGGCAGUGACUAGUUUCGGUGUGUGACUGGAGGAUGAAGUGGAGCAGCUGCUGCUGCUGCUGCUUUUUAAUGCAAUCUGAUACAUGAUGAUGGAGUUUCAUCAAAUUUUAGAUUUUGUCUGUAAAACUCUUCAAAUUGUUGUCACAAUGAGGACAAAUCAACAAAACCCCAAAAUCUGAACACUGAAAAGUACAGUAUAAUUCACUUUAUUUCAGACUCAGGUGCAGUCCGUAGAAGAAGAUACAAAUACAACAUACAUAAUAAAAUAAAAUAAUAAUUAAAAAGAGUAUAAUCGCUGUAUCCAGUGUUUCCUCAAGGCGGAAGUGUAGCGGCAGGAGCUUCAGUCAGAGACAUGAUAAUUGAGUUCUUAGACUUGUCCAGGCGUUCCAUGAGGCUGUAUGUCAGCUUAGGUGGGGAUGUGAGCAUCCACAAACAGCUGACUGGCUCUGUACCACCUGGGUACCUGUAGCAGAAGCCUGAAAGCCUUGUUACAGGCCACUAAGAAUUUAAGGAAUGUCCCACAUCCACAGUUCCACCAAAGAGGAGCCGUGUACAGAGGAGUGCAGUGAGCUCUGAGCAGCGAACACUUCACUUGAGGAGAACACGUUCUGAAUUUUCUCAUCAGCAUAUUUGCCUGAGCAUAGAAGUUACAGCACUGUCUCUGAAUGUCUCCAUCAUCCCUCCAAUCAUCAGUAAUGAAGUGUCCAAGAUAUUUGAUAGUGGAGGUUUGUUCCAGAGGCUUUCCACAAAGCUUAAAAAUAGGAAAGUUUACAUUUUUGUCAUCUUUGGUCCUUACAAUGAUGAUUUUGCUUUUAGAAGAUAAAGUUACAGAUACAGAUACAGUUUAUGGAGGCUUUAGAUAUCUGUGAUUGUGUGCGCGCUGCAGAGGAAAGCUUUUCCGAAUGUUCAAAGAUUUUCUAAAAGUUGGUGUGAGGAAGAAAAUACUGGACUGCAGGGUGCAGAUAGAAGAAUGAGAUAUGAGGUAAAACUGUUCAGGGAAGGUACAAGACAGAAAGAAAAGACCUUUCAGAGUGAGACGCGUUGAGACACUAAAGAAAAAGAUUGAAGGGAAUCUUGAAAAGAGAGCAUUGAUGGAGAGUCGCAAAAACGGUAAAUCAAAAAUAUUAGAUGGAGGAUUAUAAAUGGGAAAGAUGUGAGGCUGAAAGAUUUAGGUAAGUGGGUAAAACAUGCAAAUGUAAAAAAAAUAAAAAAGAAGUGUGAGAGAAUCAGAAAAGGUUCUUAAAGGAAAGAUAUUUUUAAAAAAUUAGACAAAAAGUACUCAGACAAGAAAAAAAAGCAAAGUUUUAAAUUAGAGAAAGAAGAUUUGUAAUCAAAAUAGAUUUGAGAGUAAAUCAGUUGUAUAAGAAAGGAAAUGCAAGAUGGGAAAAAGAGAGAAAAGCUAAAAACAAGAAAAAGAAAAGACUUAAAAUACAUCAUAAAUAAACUAAGAGUUUAUUUAAGGAACAGGAUGACCAAAAAGUGUAACAUUUAGAGAACAGAAGAAAUGUCAGUCAUGAAGACAAAAACAGACGGAUCUGAUUGGAUGAACAGUACAGAAUCAACAGAAAGUUUUGGAUCUGAAUGCAGAAAAGAAAAUCCCUCAAAAGCAAAGAGACCCUCAGCAGAUGAAACCGCUUGUGGUCAUUUCAGUCCCCUUUUUCUUUCACAUUUUGUUACCAAUUAUGAACAUGUUGUUUGUGUUCAUAUGGUUUCAACUCUUCAGCUGUUUCAUUGGAGUUCACGUCUUCGUCAGCCUCCUCUGGCACAAAACACGAACGUUUGCAAGAUAACUGAGUUUGUUGGUCUUUCCCCUAUUCCUUCUGUUGAUGGAAUAUCAAAACUGUUUGCAUAACAGAAUUCUGAAGUCGCAGAAUCGCGACCUCAUCUUAAACUGUUUAUGACUGAGGAUGUGCUGCAGAAAUACCAAACAUGUCUUUUAAUUUGGAGCUGUCUCAGUCCAGUGAAGCACCAGUUUGGCUGAUGUGAAGUUACUGAAAUAACAACCGGCAUGGAAAUGUGUUUUGGUAUUUAGUUUGAUCAUUAAAUACCACCAGAACAAUAAAGUUUAUUCAAAAGUCACAUACAGAAUCACAUUAAAGUCAUUCUUUUCUAUUCUUAAAUACCCAUACUGUCACACAGGUCAAAUAAAAUAUAUAUUUAUAAAUUUAUACAUGAUAAAUGUUGAUGUUCCAGCAUGAAUUUUUUGUGUUUUUGAUUUGUUUGUUUUUCCAGAUAAUGUAUGAAAAUGGGAAAUACUGCUGGAAAUUUGUGUAGAGAUGAGGGGUCAAUAAAUGGAGACAAACUAGAGAGA